AGAGCCAGACAUCCUUUGGGUCCAUGUACCCCACACGCAUUGAGGGGGCUACCCGACUCUUCUGUGAUGUCUACAAUCCUCAGAGCAAAACAUACUGUAAGAGGCUCCAGGUGCUAUGUCCUGAGCACUCACGGGACCCCAAAGUAAGGUUUUUCCUCAAACCCCCUGCGUCCUGUCCUACCCUGCUUCACGUCUCACACCCAUUCGUUCUUUUCCUCCCUUCUUUCUUCCUUCUCUUUUCCUGUCAGCUUCCGUUCCCGCCCUUUCUGUUUAACCAUCCCCCACGCCUACUCUUUUGUCUCCUCUUGACUCCCCUCACCUGCUCACACCUGCCUUGCUGUCUCUGCAGGUGCCAGCUGAUGAGGUCUGUGGGUGUCCACUUGUACGCGAUGUCUUUGAGCUUACAGGUGACUUCUGCCGCCUGCCCAAGCGCCAGUGUAAUCGCCAUUACUGCUGGGAGAAGCUUCGGCGAGCAGAAGUGGACUUGGAGCGCGUGCGGGUGGUAGGUUUAACACUGGGGUAACCAGAGUCCCGGGCUCCGGGAGCUGCUUCUCAUGCUUCCCUCCACUUCCUCGGCAGUGGUACAAGCUGGACGAGCUGUUUGAGCAGGAACGUAAUGUUCGCACAGCCAUGACCAACAGAGCAGGAUUGCUUGCCCUGAUGCUGCACCAAACCAUCCAACACGAUCCACUUACUACCGACCUUCGCUCUAGUGCUGACCGCUGAAAGUCACCAGCCCAGAGCCUCUCAGCCCUGCAUUCAGUCAGGGAGGGGCUCUGCAUUUCAGCUCGCUCUUCCUCCGUUCAUCUGUUUAUUCUACCACCCUUAGUUUUCUUCUUACCAUCCAUGUUUUGGCUUCUGUUUGCCCUUAUCAGAAGGGUCUCUGCUUUCCCUUUGUCUCCUCUCCAUAGUCAGUGCUGGGUGAAAGUCAAGUUUACUCAGCCUUGCCUAUACCCUCCCCCAAAAUAAACAGGUUUUGUUAAUAAAAUUUUGAACAAGAAU
rnacentral:lncRNA from 1 species